UCUCUGGUGGUCUAGCGGCUAAUGAUCUUGCGCGCUCACCGCCAUAGCCUGAGUCCGAUUCCCGGGCAGAGAA
rnacentral:tRNA from 1 species